UUUCUUUCUCAUCUUGCAGUCAUGACGGAAAUAUGAGCCGAGACGCCCUGCGGCCGUUGAUAUUAUUUGCAGCGGUCAAAUACUCCAACCGUCGUUUCUUUGCGCCUUAGCUUCGGUUUUUACCAUCCCAGACAUGGUGGCAACCAAAAACCUCGCCAUCGUAGUAACCAGUCUUGCAUUAGUAUGGGGUCUAUACUCGGGCCAGCCCAGCCAGCCAUACCAGCCGUACUGUGACACCAAAUAUUACUACCAGAAGAUUGACAGAACAGGAUGUGACUCCACCUACGCUGGAACGUACGUCUGUAUUGGCACCUGUCAAUCAUACGUCAUACCUUAUGAGUCAGCGCCUUUCUUCAGAAAGACUUGUUCCUGUUGUAAGCCGGCCAAUCCCAAAUGGAAAUGGAUCAAACUCGGAAACUGCGCGUCUGGUGUCAAUCCGUACGCUUGGAUCCAAACAGCGGGAGAUAAUGGCUGCGAUUGUCUACCAUGUUGAAGGGCAGGGGUCGAUAUGAAGGGGAGGGGUCGAUAUGAAGGGGAGGGGGUCUGAAGGAUCUUCUUUGUUUGAUAUAUUUUUUACAUUUUGAGGAAAAAGAAAAGCCUACUUUUUCGCAACAUUAGAAUUUGAGAUGUCUUGGACAUCCCCCCUUAGGGAGGAGCAUAUUUCUUCGACUCAUCGAGACUGCACCGUCCAAGCAAGGCGUGUCUUGUUUUAGAUGCCGGAGAAAGACAAAGCGGGGUGGAACAAAAAGCAAGGCAAAAAUAACCAAAUAAUGUACAAGGGGUACAUCAAGAUGAAGUCACAUUAAAAAUAUACACUUAUACCAAAUAAUUAUUUCACCACCAACUAAAUGGGAAAAAAAAAUCAAAUUGAUAUUUAUAAAUUUAAAUAGCUGUAUACAUUAUAAAUAUUGAUAAUAAAUAAAUUUAUAAAAAAUAUAAAUUUUAGAAGAGAACCUAUGCUAGUAGUCAGUCUCCCUAUAGGUUAACCAGUGCGUAAGAUGACUUUAAGUGAGAAGGUGCAAUAGUCUUAAUAAUCUUUCAAGAAGAAAGGGGAGAAUAAGUAGAAGAAUGUGAUUGAAAAGGAAUUUAAUUUUGUUUAUUUGAAGAUAUUUCUUUCGUAUAUAUCAACUAAGAAUACAGCAUAUAAGUCGUAUAUAUUUAAUAAAACUAUCCGUGUGUAACCAUGGUA